CGGGCUAUGGCGCAGUCUGGUAGCGCGUUCGUCUGGGGGACGAAAGGUCGUGAGUUCGAAUCUCGCUAGCCCGACCA
rnacentral:tRNA from 2 species